UGAAUGAUGUAUACAAUUGUUGAAUAUAUUGUACACCUAAAACUAAUAUAGCACUGUAUGUUAAUUAACUGGAAUCAAAAUAAAAACUUAAAAAAGAUAAGACCCUGCUCAAAGUGGGCAAAAUGUGAGAAGCAGAGAUCCAAUGAGUCUGCAGGUAGUGGGUGGACAAAGGGUGCAUACUCCCUCCCUCUGGGAGGUGGUGACACUCCCAGGAGGAAGCCAUUUGGAAAACUGAGGUCUUGAUUUUUUUCUACCCCAGAAAAUCUGGCACAAUAUCUAAAAGAAGCUGAAAGGCUUUUCUGGGUUUUCUGUUUAAGGAAAGUUUGGGGAGUAUCCAAGACUCUGAACCUUGCACAAUCCAGCUUGUGAGGGCUGGCCAGCAGUGCUCCCACCAUUCUCCCUGUUCCUGCACUCACUGCAAAGACCUGGGCCUCCUACCAGUGCUUUCCAGAAAGAAAAGCUGUUCAGGAAGAAGGUAGGACAAGACCUGGAAAUUGUUGGAUGAGUGGACGAAGGAGGAAUCUUCGCCGAUUUUCAGAUUACACUAGGAAGAGCUAGUGAAUGGCAACAUCAGUGAACAAGAUUGGAAGUUUGGAAACAGGAAGGCAAAUGACUUUGGAGAAGGGAAUGAAUUUUGCUUUGGUUAGGGUAGGUUGAGUUUCCAUGGAAGGCUCAGGUGAGGGGUCUAGGCGCCAGAGGUCAAUGUAGGGGUCAUCAGCAAAUGGAUGUCAGUGAAGUUACGGGCUGGAGAGGUUUGCCGGGGACAGCAUCCAACCCUCAGGAAUACCAAUACAUAAGGA